UCUGAUGGGAAUAACCACUAAGUUCACCCCCAAAUCUCACUUUCCAUCUACUCCUGAUCUUUUCCUACUGUUUCUGCCCAGGGCCAGCAGGGGUUAGGGCAGCGGGAUGGGCUUGUUUUCCUAACCUUCUGCUAAGCUCGCUGAAUGCGUCAGCACACCAAGUAAGGCCCUCGGUGAAGCGCGUCUCCUGCCCCUUCAGCAGCUGCUGCAUCUGCCGCACAGCUGCCAGGAGCUGCUGCCUGCCUGGGCAGCCCUGCGGGCACAGCAAAUACUCAGCACCCACAGCUCCAGCACACACCUGGCUCCUCCAGGUCCCAUCAUUUGCCCCCAUUGGCCAAACACGGGGGUUCUGAAUCCAGACCUCGUGUGGGAAAUCCCUAGCUGUGGCAUAGCCUCCUACAUCCUAACAUGGUAACGCAUCACUCUGAUAGCUUUGUUAGCCCUGGGAGAGAUGCCACAGCUCGUCCUGCUGGAGCUAGAGCCAUGUCCCACUUCCAUAUUACAAAAUAAUAGGAAAACAGAUGUCUU
rnacentral:lncRNA from 1 species